GAUGAAGAACGUAGCGAAAUGCGAUAAGUAAUGUGAAUUGCAGAAUUCAGUGAAUCAUCGAAUCUUUGAACGCACAUUGCGCCCGCCAGUAUUCUGGCGGGCAUGCCUGUUCGAGCGUCAUUUCAACCAUCAAGCCCCCGGCUUGUGUUGGGGACCUUCGGCUGCCGCAGGCCCUGAAUACCAGUGGCGGGCUCGCUAGUCACUCCGAGCGUAGUAAUACAUCUCGCUCAGGGCGUGCUGCGGGUUCCGGCCGUUAAAAAAGCCUUAUUUACCCAAGGUUGACCUCGGAUCAGGUAGGAAGACCCGCUGAACUUAAGCAUAUCAAUAAGCGGAGGA
rnacentral:misc_RNA from 1 species